CAGCAGCCGCGGUAAUACGUAGGUCCCGAGCGUUGUCCGGAUUUAUUGGGCGUAAAGCGAGCGCAGGCGGUUAGAUAAGUCCGAAGUUAAAGGCUGUGGCUCAACCAUAGUUCGCUUUGGAAACUGUCAAACUUGAGUGCAGAAGGGGAGAGUGGAAUUCCAUGUGUAGCGGUGAAAUGCGUAGAUAUAUGGAGGAACACCGGUGGCGAAAGCGGCUCUCUGGUCUGUAACUGACGCUGAGGCUCGAAAGCGUGGGGAGCGAACAGGAUUAGAUACCCCCGUAGUCCCUGUCUCUUAUACC
rnacentral:rRNA from 1 species